GAGUUUGAUCCUGGCUCAGGAUGAACGCUAGCGGCAGGCCUAACACAUGCAAGUCGAGGGGCAGCAUUUCUAGCUUGCUAGAAGAUGGCGACCGGCGCACGGGUGCGUAACGCGUAUACAAUCUGCCUAUUACUGAGGGAUAGCCCGAAGAAAUUUGGAUUAAGACCUCAUGGUAUUAUAGAGUCGCAUGAUUUUAUAAUUAAAGGUUACGGUAAUAGAUGAGUAUGCGUCCUAUUAGCUAGAUGGUAAGGUAAAGGCUUACCAUGGCUACGAUAGGUAGGGGUCCUGAGAGGGAGAUCCCCCACACUGGUACUGAGACACGGACCAGACUCCUACGGGAGGCAGCAGUGAGGAAUAUUGGACAAUGGGCGCAAGCCUGAUCCAGCCAUGCCGCGUGUAGGAAGACGGCCCUAUGGGUUGUAAACUACUUUUGUACGGGAAGAAAUCUCUCUACGUGUAGAGAGUUGACGGUACCGUAAGAAUAAGCACCGGCUAACUCCGUGCCAGCAGCCGCGGUAAUACGGAGGGUGCAAGCGUUAUCCGGAAUCAUUGGGUUUAAAGGGUCCGUAGGCGGGCUAAUAAGUCAGUGGUGAAAUGCAGGGGCUUAACUCCGGCACUGCCAUUGAUACUGUUAGUCUUGAAUUAUUGUGAAGUGGUUAGAAUAUGUAGUGUAGCGGUGAAAUGCUUAGAUAUUACAUAGAAUACCAAUUGCGAAGGCAGAUCACUAACAAUAUAUUGACGCUGAUGGACGAAAGCGUGGGUAGCGAACAGGAUUAGAUACGCUGGUAGUCCACGCCGUAAACGAUGGUUACUAGCUGUUUGGUACGAUUAAGUACUGAGUGGCCAAGCGAAAGUGAUAAGUAACCCACCUGGGGAGUACGUUCGCAAGAAUGAAACUCAAAGGAAUUGACG
rnacentral:rRNA from 1 species